UUCCAGACUCCUACGGGAGGCAGCAGUGGGGGAUAUUGCACAAUGGGGGGAACCCUGAUGCAGCGACGCCGCGUGGGUGAAGGAGUGCUUCGGCAUGUAAAGCCCUAUCGGCAGGGAAGAAGCAAGACGGUACCUGACUAAGAAGCCCCGGCUAACUACGUGCCAGCAGCCGCGGUAAUACGUAGGGGGCGAGCGUUAUCCGGAUUCACUGGGUGUAAAGGGAGCGUAGACGGCCAUGCAAGCCAGGGGUGAAAGCCCGGGGCCCAACCCCGGGACUGCCCUUGGAACUGCAUGGCUGGAGUGCGGGAGGGGCAGGCGGAAUUCCUGGUGUAGCGGUGAAAUGCGUAGAUAUCAGGAGGAACACCGGUGGCGAAGGCGGCCAACUGGGCUUUAACUGACGCUGAGGCUCGAAAGUGUGGGGAGCAAACAGGAUUAGAUACCCCAGUAC
rnacentral:rRNA from 1 species